rnacentral:rRNA from 1 species
AACGAACGCUGGUGGCAGGCUUAACACAUGCAAGUCGAGCGACCCGCAAGGGGAGCGGCUGACGGGUGAGUAACGCGUGGGAACGUGCCCUAAGGUUCGGAAUAGCUCCGGGAAACUGGAAUUAAUACCGAAUGUGUCCGUGAGGAGAAAGAUUUAUCGCCUUAGGAUCGGCCCGCGUUGGAUUAGCUAGUUGGUGGGGUAAAAGCCUACCAAGGCGACGAUCCAUAGCUGGUCUGAGAGGACGACCAGCCACACUGGGACUGAGACGCGGCCCAGACUCCUACGGGAGGCAGCAGUGGGGAAUCUUGGACAAUGGGCGCAAGCCUGAUCCAGCCAUGCCGCGUGGAUGAUGAAGGCCUUAGGGUUGUAAAAUCCUUUCGUCGGGGACGAUAAUGACGGUACCCGAAGAAGAAGCUCCGGCUAACUUCGUGCCAGCCGCCGCAGUAAAAC